rnacentral:rRNA from 1 species
AGAGUUUGAUCCUGGCUCAGGAUGAACGCUGGCGGUGUGCCUUAUACAUGCAUGUCGAACGAGGCGUAGCAAUACGUCUAGUGGCAAAUGGGUGAGUAAUAAAUAGGUAACCAACCCUUAAGACGGGGAUACCCCAUCGAAAGAUGGAAUAAUACCCGAUAAUGUCCCUUCCGGUGCGCUGGAGGGGAAGAAAGAUGGCGCAAGCUAUCACUUUUGGACGGGCUUAUUUCCUAUCAGCUAGUUGGUGAGGUAAUGGCUUACCAAGGCUACGACGGGUAGCUGGUCUGAGAGGACGGUCAGCCACAUUGGGACUGCGACACGGCCCAGACUCCUACGGGAGGCAGCAGUCGGGAAUAUUCGGCCAAUGCGCGAAAGCGUGACCGAGCGACACCGCGUGGGCGACGAAGAUCUUAGGAUUGUAAAGCCCUUUUGCCAGGGAAGAAUACGCUGGAGACAAUAUCAAUAGCGUUUGACGGUACCUGGCGAAUAAGCCGCAGCAAACUACGUGCCAGCAGCUGCGGUAAUACGUAGGCGGCGAGCGUUAUCCGGAAUUACUGGGUGUAAAGGGUCCGCAGGCGUCUUGUUAAGUUAAGAGUUAAAUCUCAAAGCCCAACUUUGAGGCUGCUCCUAAGACUGGCAAGAUAGAGUGUAGAAGACGGAAGUGGAAUUCCUGGUGGAGAGGUAAAAUCCGUAGAUAUCAGGAGGAACACCUGUGGUGAAGACGGCUUCCGAGUCUAUAACUGACGCUCAUGGACGAAAGCUAGGGGAGCAAACAGGAUUAGAUACCCUGGUAGUCCUAGCCCUAAACGAUGAAUACUUGGUAAUAGGGAGUACAUACUCUUUAUCGCCGAAGCUAACGCAUUAAGUAUUCCACCUGGGGACUACGGCCGCAAGGUUGAAACUCAAAGGAAUUGACGGGGGCCCGCAC